rnacentral:rRNA from 1 species
CAAUAGCGUAUAUUAAAGUUGUUGCAGUUAAAAGCUCGUAGUUGGAUUUCUGGUCUGAUGCCCUGGCCCGCGCCUUAUAGGUGUGUGUGCCGGCUGUGCGUCUACCAUCCUUCUAGUAACCCUUCCUACCCUUCACUGGGCCGGGUUGGCGAUCUAGAUCUUUUACUUUGAAAAAUUAGAGUGUUUAAAGCAGGCUUUUGCUAUGAAUACAUUAGCAUGGAAUAAUGGAAAAGGACUUCAACCUCUUCUGUUGGUCUGGGAGGCUGUAGUAAUGAUUAAUAGGGAUAGUUGGGGGCAUUAGUACUUCACUGUCAGAGGUGAAAUUCUCCGAUUUGUGAAAGACUAACUUAUGCGAAAGCAUUUGCCAAGGAUGUUUUCAUUAAUCAAGAACGAAAGUUAGGGGAUCAAAGACGAUUAGAUACCGU